rnacentral:rRNA from 1 species
GUCUAUGGCCAUACCACCCUGAACGUGCCCAAUCUCGUCCGAUCUUGGAAGCUAAGCAGGGCCAGGCCUGGUUAAUACUUGAAUGGGAAAAGACAAAAGAAGUAGGGUUGAGGUAUUUU